rnacentral:rRNA from 1 species
AGCAGCCGCGGUAAUUCCAGCUCCAAUAGCGUAUAUUAAAGUUGUUGCAGUUAAAAAGCUCGUAGUUGAAUUUCGGGGUUUAUCCGUUGGUCGGGCUUUUUGGUCUGUACUGGCGUGAUGGAUUCCUACCUUCUGAAUAACCGGCAUGUCAUUAAUUUGGUGCGCCGGGGAAGCAGGACUGUUACCUUGAAAAAAAUUAGAGUGCUUAAAGCAGGCUUAUGCCUGAAUACAUUAGCAUGGAAUAAUGAAAUAGGACGGCAUGGUUCUAUUUUGUUGGUUUCUAGGAUCACCGUAAUGAUUAAUAGGGAUAGUUGGGGGCAUUAGUAUUCAAUUGUCAGAGGUGAAAUUCUUGGAUUUAUUGAAGACUAACUUCUGCGAAAGCAUUUGCCAAGGAUGUUUUCAUUAAUCAAGAACGAAAGUUAGGGGAUCGAAGACGAUCAGAUACCGUCGUAGUCUUAACCAUAAACUAUGCCGACUAGGGAUCGGACGAUGUUAAUUUUUUAAUGACUCGUUCGGCGCC